CGGCAAUAUACGCUCUGGCAGUGUGGUUAGCUGGUUGUGUGGCUUUCGUUUUUCGAAUUCACAGCCACUAUCCUCCCUGCCGUCGCGAUAGUGCCAA
rnacentral:pre_miRNA from 1 species